GGGAGUUUAGUAUAAUGGCAGUACUGCAGUCUCCAAAACUGCUUGUAUAGGGUUCGAUUCCUUUAACUCCCGCCA
rnacentral:tRNA from 1 species